rnacentral:rRNA from 1 species
AGCGAACGGACGAGAAGCUUGCUUCUCUGAUGUUAGCGGCGGACGGGUGAGUAACACGUGGAUAACCUACCUAUAAGACUGGGAUAACUUCGGGAAACCGGAGCUAAUACCGGAUAAUAUUUUGAACCGCAUGGUUCAAAAGUGAAAGACGGUCUUGCUGUCACUUAUAGAUGGAUCCGCGCUGCAUUAGCUAGUUGGUAAGGUAACGGCUUACCAAGGCAACGAUGCAUAGCCGACCUGAGAGGGUGAUCGGCCACACUGGAACUGAGACACGGUCCAGACUCCUACGGGAGGCAGCAGUAGGGAAUCUUCCGCAAUGGGCGAAAGCCUGACGGAGCAACGCCGCGUGAGUGAUGAAGGUCUUCGGAUCGUAAAACUCUGUUAUUAGGGAAGAACAUAUGUGUAAGUAACUGUGCACAUCUUGACGGUACCUAAUCAGAAAGCCACGGCUAACUACGUGCCAGCAGCCGCGGUAAUACGUAGGUGGCAAGCGUUAUCCGGAAUUAUUGGGCGUAAAGCGCGCGUAGGCGGUUUUUUAAGUCUGAUGUGAAAGCCCACGGCUCAACCGUGGAGGGUCAUUGGAAACUGGAAAACUUGAGUGCAGAAGAGGAAAGUGGAAUUCCAUGUGUAGCGGUGAAAUGCGCAGAGAUAUGGAGGAACACCAGUGGCGAAGGCGACUUUCUGGUCUGUAACUGACGCUGAUGUGCGAAAGCGUGGGGAUCAAACAGGAUU